rnacentral:lncRNA from 1 species
CCGCUUCUGGACUUUUCCUUGGACUCCAUGAGAUAAUCUAAUGUUCUUUCAAUAGGCUGGAGUGCAAUGGUGUGAUUUCAGCUUACUGAAACCUCCACCUCCUAGGUUCAAGAGAUUCUCCUGCCUCAGCUUCCCGAGUAGCUGGAAUUACAGCUUCAGAUCCAAAUGGUAUGCUAGCAUUCUCUUCCUAGCAGUCCACUGUCAAGACUUCACUGUUAGAAGAAGAAUCACACCAGAAUUAAGGUCAAAUGGAUUAUCUUAUUCUUAAUUGCUGAAAAUCACACCUCAUUGAAAUUUGCUUCAUAACUGAACCAUGAAUUUUUCAUCAAACAUACUUUUGUGUUUCUCCUCCUGGCAUUCUUUAUGAGGAACUUCUUUUUGGAGCUCACUGACUUCCUGUUCUAAUUUGGUCCAGUUAUUUUCUAGAAUUGCUACAUGACUGUCAUCCUGGGACAUCCUUCUGUUGGAAUCUGGGAGAGCUUACAACUUUUCAUAUCCUCUCUUCUUCUUUGUGUUUUUCACCCUGAAGUGUACAAAGUCAAAUGAAUUUCCUAGAAAAACUA